rnacentral:lncRNA from 1 species
UUGGAUGAAGUGGCACAUGGCCUCAUCUCCUUAGUUUAAACGUCUGUUCUUAGGCAUGGGAUUUGACUUGCUAGCUUACGGCGCAUUUAUUGCUUGUGCAGGGCCUCCAUGCUAGUGACAAGACUUGACCUUUAUGCUUAUGACAAACAUUCCAUCAAUCAUUCGAAUAAGAUCUGUGCAGGCAAUCUCUUGGGAGAAGUGACCAUGGAGGAUGUUUCCUUGUGGUUGAGGCUCGCGCAUCAGCUUCGGGGCUUCGUCCAUUUGAGGACCUCAGCUACAACCACAAGCUUCCACGCCUCGUGCCAUGGGCCUCGGUUAGAAGCAGUUCGGAUAUAACCCACCUCGGCAAUGUGGGACACCUCGGCAGGAAUGCCACGUGGAUCAGGAUGAGUGGGCCACUGGUC